GACGAACGCUGGCGGCGUGCCUAAUACAUGCAAGUUGAGCGCUGAAGGUUGGUACUUGUACCAACUGGAUGAGCAGCGAACGGGUGAGUAACGCGUGGGGAAUCUGCCUUUGAGCGGGGGACAACAUUUGGAAACGAAUGCUAAUACCGCAUAAAAACUUUAAACACAAGUUUUAAGUUUGAAAGAUGCAAUUGCAUCACUCAAAGAUGAUCCCGCGUUGUAUUAGCUAGUUGGUGAGGUAAAGGCUCACCAAGGCGAUGAUACAUAGCCGACCUGAGAGGGUGAGCGGCCACAUUGGGACUGAGACACGGCCCAAACUCCUACGGGAGGCAGCAGGAGGGAAUCUUCGGCAAUGGACGAAAGUCUGACCGAGCAACGCCGCGUGAGUGAAGAAGGUUUUCGGAUCGUAAAACUCUGUUGGUAGAGAAGAACGUUGGUGAGAGUGGAAAGCUCAUCAAGUGACGGUAACUACCCAGAAAGGGACGGCUAACUACGUG
rnacentral:rRNA from 1 species